rnacentral:rRNA from 1 species
UACAGAGGCCCCAAGCGUUACUGAGAAUCACUGGGUUUAAAGGGUGCGUAGGUGGCGCGUUAAGUCCGUUGUGAAAUCCCUUGGCUCAACCAAGGAAUGGCUUCGGAUACUGGCGUGCUUGAGGCCGGUAAGGGUCACUGGAACUGACGGUGCAGCGGUGAAAUGCGUAGAUAUCAGGAGGAACGCCUGUGGGGGAGACGGCUCUCUGGACCAUUACUGACACUGAGGGACGAAAGCGUGGGUAGCAAACAGG